rnacentral:rRNA from 1 species
GUCUAUGGCCAUACCACCCUGAACACGCCCGAUCUCGUCUGAUCUCGGAAGCUAAGCAGGGUCAGGCCUGGUUAGUACUUGGAUGGGAGAAAGGAGGGAAACUGAAAACA